rnacentral:rRNA from 1 species
GACGAACGCUGGCGGCGUGCUUAACACAUGCAAGUCGAACGGAAAGGCCCUGCUUUUGUGGGGUGCUCGAGUGGCGAACGGGUGAGUAACACGUGAGUAACCUGCCCUUGACUUUGGGAUAACUUCAGGAAACUGGGGCUAAUACCGGAUAGGAGCUCCUGCUGCAUGGUGGGGGUUGGAAAGUUUCGGCGGUUGGGGAUGGACUCGCGGCUUAUCAGCUUGUUGGUGGGGUAGUGGCUUACCAAGGCUUUGACGGGUAGCCGGCCUGAGAGGGUGACCGGCCAAAUUGGGACUGGGAUGAGGCCCAGACUCCUACGGGAGGGAAAGGUGGGGAAUAUUGCACCAUGGGCGGGAGCCUGAAGCCACAACGCCGGGUGCGGGAAGACGGGCUUCGGGUUGGAAACCGCUUUCGCCUGUGACGAAGCGUGAGUGACGGUAAUGGGUAAAGAAGCACCGGCUAACUACGUG